UACGGAGGGUCCAAGCGUUAUCCGGAUUCACUGGGUUUAAAGGGUGCGUAGGCGGCUUUGUAAGUCAGUGGUGAAAGCCUACAGCUUAACUGUAGAAUUGCCAUUGAAACUGCGAAGCUUGAGUUUAGUUGAGGCAGGCGGAAUGUAGCAUGUAGCGGUGAAAUGCUUAGAUAUGCUACAGAACACCGAUUGCGAAGGCAGCUUGCUAAACUAAAACUGACGCUGAGGCACGAAAGCGUGGGGAGCGAACAGG
rnacentral:misc_RNA from 1 species